rnacentral:rRNA from 1 species
AGGCAUUGCUUAUUGCACCACAUGUGUUUUUCUUUGAAACAAACUUGCUUUGGCGGUGGGCCCAGCCUGCCGCCAGAGGUCUAAACUUACAACCAAUUUUUUAUUAACUUGUCACACCAGAUUAUUACUAAAUAGUCAAAACUUUCAACAACGGAUCUCUUGGUUCUCGCAUCGAUGAAGAACGCAGCGAAAUGCGAUACGUAAUAUGAAUUGCAGAUAUUCGUGAAUCAUCGAAUCUUUGAACGCACAUUGCGCCCUCUGGUAUUCCGGAGGGCAUGCCUGUUUGAGCGUCGUUUCUCCCUCAAACCGCUGGGUUUGGUGUUGAGCAAUACGACUUGGGUUUGCUUGAAAGACGGUAGUGGUAAGGCGGGAUCGCUUUGACAAUGGCUUAGGUCUAACCAAAAACAUUGCUUGCGGCGGUAACGUCUACCACGUAUAUCUUCAAACUUUGACCUCAAAUCAGGUAGGACUACCCGCUGAACUUAAGCAUAUCAAUAAGGCGGAGGAA